AGUGACUAAAAAUAAAGAGACCAAUCCUUUGGAUUGGUUAUUUCAAUGAGUUGAGCUUAAAUAGCUCUUCGAGGACCCAGUGGAGGGCAAGUCUGGUGCCAGCAGCCGCGGUAAUUCCAGCUCCACUAGUAUAAAUCGUCAUUGCUGCGGUUAAAAAGCUCGUAGUUGGAUUUGAGGCACGUACAGCGGUUCGGCUCUGCCGUUAAUCACUGUUGUGUCUAAUUUGUUGGUUUUCUGUUGGUAACUUCGGUUCCUUCAGUGGCUAGCAAGUUUACCUUGAUCAAAUCAAAGCGCUCAAAGCAGGCGAUUGCUUGCAUUUGGGAUCAUGGAAUAAUAAAAUAGGAUUUCGAUUCUAUUUAUUGGUUUAGAAUUGAAUUAAUGAUUAAGAGAGACAAUUCGGGGGCAUUCGUAUCCCUGCGCGAGAGGUGAAAUUCGUGGACCGCAGGGGGACGUCCAAAAGCGAAAGCAUUUGCCAAGAAUGUCUUCAUUAAUCAAGAACGAAAGUCAGAGGUUCGAAGGCGAUUAGAUACCGCCCUAGUUCUGACCGUAAACUAUGCCAUCUAGCGAUCCGAUAGGGUAUUCAUGCCUUGUCGGGGAGCUUCCCGGAAACGAAAGUUUUUCGGUUCCGGGGGUAGUAUGGUUGCAAAGCUGAAACUUAAAGAAAUUGACGGAAGGGCACCCACCCAGGA
rnacentral:rRNA from 1 species